rnacentral:rRNA from 1 species
CCUACGGGAGGCAGCAGUGGGGAAUAUUGGGCAAUGGGCGCAAGCCUGACCCAGCAAUGCCGCGUGAAGGCAGAAGGCCUUCGGGUUGUAAACUUCUUUUAUUGGGGACGAAACAAAUGACGGUACUCAAUGAAUAAGCCACGGCUAACUACGUGCCAGCAGCCGCCGUAAUACGUAGGUGGCAAGCGUUAUCCGGAUUUACUGGGUGUAAAGGGCGUGUAGGCGGGACUGCAAGUCAGAUGUGAAAUACAUGGGCUCAACCCAGGGCCUGCAUUUGAAACUGUAGUGCUUGAGUGAUGGGGAGGUAGGCGGAAUUCCGUGUGUAGCGGUGAAAUGCGUAGAUAUACGGAGGAACACCAGUGGCGAAGGCGGCCUGCUGGACAUUAACUGACGCUGAGGCGCGAAAGCGUGGGUAGCAAACAGGAUUAGAUACCCCUGUAGUC